rnacentral:rRNA from 1 species
AUUGAACGCUGGCGGCAGGCCUAACACAUGCAAGUCGAGCGCGAAAGGUUUUCGGACUGAGUAGAGCGGCGGACGGGUGAGUAAUACGCAGGAAUCUACCUAGUAGUGGGGGACAACGUUCCGAAAGGAACGCUAAUACCGCAUACGCCCUACGGGGGAAANCGGGGGAUCUUCGGACCUCGCGCUAUCAGAUGAGCCUGCGUCGGAUUAGCUAGUUGGUAGGGUAAAGGCCUACCAAGGCGACGAUCCGUAGCUGGUCUGAGAGGAUGAUCAGCCACACUGGAACUGAGACACGGUCCAGACUCCUACGGGAGGCAGCAGUGGGGAAUAUUGCGCAAUGGGGGAAACCCUGACGCAGCCAUGCCGCGUGUGUGAAGAAGGCCUUCGGGUUGUAAAGCACUUUCAAUGGGGAGGAAAGGGUAUACGUUAAUACCGUGUAUCUGUGACGUUACCUAUAGAAGAAGCACCGGCUAACUUCGUG